rnacentral:misc_RNA from 1 species
AUUAUGUGUCUUAUGGUACUUUUCUUUGUAUAUUUUCAUGCUAACAUAUGCAAGUUAGCUUGCUAACUUACACCAUAGCAUGCGCCUGCUUCUUGUUAGCCCAGCACUAACUAUUAGGCUUUGAAAUCCUUAAUUAUCUUCCCUGAAUUGGAUUUUUAUGGACCAUGGCUCACGUAUGUGGGCCAUAUGGGUGGAUCUAAUUUGCAUAAUAGUCAUCUUACAGGAGUGAUGCUGCAUGUAGAUCUAGUGUAAGAAAUAUGCUCCUAUUUAUGUGUAUGGUAAUGUGUAAACUCAUUAUAGACAUUUUAGAGUCACUGUACAUUUAAACUCGUUGCAUGGGCAAAAAUUUUGCUUGAAUUCCUAUGCUCUUCACCGUUCUGCUUUUGGUUUAUUAUUAGAUGAAAAAGAAUAGUAAAUAUGGAACAAACUAGAUAAAGAGUGGGAGACAGCCCAUCAAUCAUUAUUAAAAGAAGUAGAAGUCUUCCAUUAUUUGAUGAAAAGAAAUAGUAAACAUUUAGCAUAAGGUAAAUAGAUAGUGAGAGACAGCCGAUCAAUCAUUUAUUAAAAGAAGUAAAAGGACUUUCAUUAUAAUGCAUUAUGCAUGAUACAAAUGUUUGCUACUUUGCUUUUUUUAAAAAAAGAGAAAAGUUUGGUUCUGGACAUCUCUAUGUAAUGAUUGAAAUAAUAAAAAGAAAAGAAAAAAAAAUCUUCAAAUACUAGUUUCAACAGUUUACUCACCUAGAAGGUGCCUUCAAAUGUUGGGGGUAAAAAAGAAAGGGGACCUUGAGGGAAAGUAAAGAAUAUCAAAUCAGGCUCUCUAUUUUAUUUUCAGUGGAGGAAUAUCAAAUAUGGCCAAUGAUUGGUUUACCUUAUAAAUUGGCAACCUGUUUUGGACGUAGAUAAUGAGGGUAUGGUGGGAAAUUAAGAAUAAAUGGGUUUCUUAACUGAUACUUUUAUAUCUCAAAU